rnacentral:tRNA from 1 species
CAAAUUAGAGCUUGAAAUUAAGUAUUUCAUUUACAUUGAAAAGAUAUUAGAUUUAAUUAAUUUGA